AGACGGGGUUUCACCAUGUUGGUCAGGCUGGUCUCGAACUCCUGACCUCAAGUGAUCUGCCCACCUCAGAAUCCCAAAGUGCUGGGAUUACAGGUGUGAUUACAGCUACCAUGCCUGACCUCCCCCUCCAAAUUUUGAGGCAUGAACACAUUGAGAGGUGAGAGUAGGUCUUCCUUCCCCUCUUUCAAAUUUGUCCCCACAGCUAGCAUAAGCUUUAGAACACAGUAGUGUUUAAGAACUAUUUAUUUGAAUGAAAGAAUGGCUUGAAAACUUCUGUCUAAAAAACUACAAUUAACUGAGGUCUGGGAGUGUGCCAGGCUAAUAAUAAUGAUAAUAGUCAUAAACAGUGUCUACUGAAUUCUUAUACCUGCUUUUAAGACAUUUCUCAUUGAUCAUUAAAAAAAAAUCACCUUUGAGGUAGCAAGUAUCCUCACUUUACACAUAAGAAAACUGAGACUUAGAGAGAUUAAAUAACCUGCCCACUGCCACCUAGCUACUAAAAGCCAGAGCCAGGAAUACAUAGAUGUGUCCUAACUGCAUUUCUAGUGCUUCCUUAACCAUAGUCAUCAUUUACUGUGUUCAUGGUUUUCAUGAAAUCUAAGCUCCACUUAGACUGUUAUUUCUUAACUACAUUUUAAAAUCAGUCUCCUUUUUAGCACUUGUGUUUGCUUUUGUUUGACUUGUGGACAAAGACUUAUAGUAGACAGGCACGAAAAAAUAAAUCCUCUUUUGCAACCCAUGAGUUGUUAUACAUGCAAGAAGGAAUAUUAUGAAAAAAGAAAGAAAAAAUAGCAAUCUAUUUUUUAAAAACUUUAAUCAAUUUAGCCUCAUCCCAAAGUAAUAUCUGUGAAAUAAAAAGCUUAAUGUGUUAAGAUUUUUGUGACACAUUGAAAUGAACAUAACUAUUGUAAUACAGAAGUGUGUCCACAUGCUACACAUAGCCAUAUGGUGAUAUGACUACCAUACCUGGGUAAAUAUUACUCUCUGCUCAGUUACACCUAACCUCUAACAUUGGUCUUUCUGUUUCUAAAGAUCCAC
rnacentral:lncRNA from 1 species